rnacentral:rRNA from 1 species
AAUUUCGUACAUUGGGGUCAACCUUGAUCCAGCCAUCCCCCGUGUGCGACGAAGGCCUUCGUGUUGUAAAGCACUUCUGGCAGGGAGGAAAAGGCUCUGCCUAAUACCUGGAGCUGCUGACGGUACCUGCAGAAUAAGCACCGGCGAACUACGUGCCAGCGGCCGCGGUAAUACGUAGGGUGCAAGCGUUACUCGGAAUUACUGGGCGUAAAGCGUGCGCAGGCGGUUCGGGAAGAAGGAUGUGAAAAACCAGGGCUUAACAUUGGAACUGCAUGUUUAACUGCAGGGCUAGAGUAUGUCAGAGGGGGGUAGAAUUCCGCGUGUAGCAGUGAAAUGCGUAGAGAUGCGGAGGAAUACCGAUGGCGAAGGCAGCCCCCUGGGAUAAUACUGACGCUCAUGCGCGAAAGCGUGGGGAGCAAAC